rnacentral:rRNA from 1 species
GCAAACAGCCAUAUCAACCUGCAGCCCAAGACCGGUUACUCACUGAAGCUAAGCAGGGCUGAGCCUGGUUAGUACCUGGAUGGGAGACCACUAGGGAACACUAGGUUGCUGUUGGAA